rnacentral:rRNA from 1 species
AACGAACGCUGGCGGCGUGGCUAAGACAUGCAAGUCGAACGGACUGUCCUAUUGAGUAAUCGAGCGGACAGUUAGUGGCGAAAGGAUGAGUAAUGCAUAGAUAACGUACCCCGGGCUUCGGAAUAGCUGCGGAACUUCGGUUCCAUUAGCGAAAGUGCAGGUAAUACUGGAUGAUGUUUCGAAGACGUAUGUUUUUUUAACCAAAGGACUUCGGUCCGGCCUGGGAGCGGUUUAUGUCGUAUCAGCUAGUUGGUGAGGUAACGGCUCACCAAGGCUUCGACGCGUAGCGGGACUGAGAGGUUGGCCCGCCAUAUCGGGACUGAGACACUGCCCGGACCUCCACGGAGGGCUGCAGUAACGAAUCUUGCGCAAUGGGCGAAAGCCUGACGCAGCGACGCCGCGUGUAGGACGAAGCUUUUCGGAGUGUAAACUACUGUUAGGGUGAAGAAAGUCACGACUUUGUCGAGAUUGAUCGAUCCCAAAGAAAGGCCCGGCUAACUUCGUGCCAGCAGCCGCGGUAAUACGAAGGGGCCAAGCGUUGUUCGGAAUCACUGGGCUUAAAGAGCACGUAGGCGGAAAGGUAAGUGUCCUGUGAAAUCCCUCGGCUUAACCGAGGAACUGCGGGGCAUACUGUUUUUCUUGAGGCAAGUAGGGGUGCAUGGAACUCUAGGUGGAGCGGUGAAAUGCGUAGAUAUCUAGAGGAACGCCCGUGGUGAAAACGGUGCACUGGGCUUGAUCUGACGCUGAGGUGCGAAAGCGUGGGUAGCAAACGGGAUUAGAUACCCCGGUAGUCCACGCCGUAAACGAUGUCUACUAGGUCGUGGAAGUUCUGACGCUUUCGCGGCCGAAGCAAAAGUGUUAAGUAGACCGCCUGGGGAGUACGGUCGCAAGGCUA